CGGAGGGUGCAAGCGUUAUCCGGAUUCACUGGGUUUAAAGGGUGCGUAGGUGGGUUGGUAAGUCAGUGGUGAAAUCCCCGAGCUUAACUUGGGAACUGCCAUUGAUACUAUCAGUCUUGAAUAUCGUGGAGGUUAGCGGAAUAUGUCAUGUAGCGGUGAAAUGCUUAGAUAUGACAUAGAACACCAAUUGCGAAGGCAGCUGGCUACACGAAUAUUGACACUGAGGCACGAAAGCGUGGGGAUCAAACAGGAUUAGAUACCCUGGUAGUCCACGCCCUAAACUAUGGAUACUCGACAUCAGCGAUACACUGUUGGUGUCCGAGCGAAAGCAUUAAGUAUCCCACCUGGGAAGUACGAUCGCAAGAUUG
rnacentral:rRNA from 1 species